rnacentral:rRNA from 1 species
GACGAACGCUGGCGGCGUGCCUAAUACAUGCAAGUCGAGCGGACAGAAGGGAGCUUGCUCCCGGAAGUUAGCGGCGGACGGGUGAGUAGCACGUGGGCAACCUACCCUGUAGAUCGGGAUAACAUCGAGAAAUCGGUGCUAAUACCGGAUAAUCAUUUGAAGUGCAUGCUUCGAAUGUAGAAGAUGGCUCCGGCUAUCACUACGGGAUGGGCCCGCGGCGCAUUAGCUAGUUGGUAAGGUAAUGGCUUACCAAGGCAACGAUGCGUAGCCGACCUGAGGGGGUGAUCGGCCACACUGGGACUGAGACACGGCCCAGACUCCUACGGGAGGCAGCAGUAGGGAAUCUUCCGCAAUGGACGAAAGUCUGACGGAGCAACGCCGCGUGAGUGAUGAAGGUUUUCGGAUCGUAAAGCUCUGUUGUUAGGGAAGAACAAGUGCCGUUUGAAUAAGGCGGCACCUUGACGGUACCUAACCAGAAAGCCACGGCUAACUACGUGCCAGCCGCCGCGGUAAGAC